rnacentral:rRNA from 1 species
AACGAGCGCUGGCGGCAUGCCUAAUACAUGCAAGUCGAACGAGAUCUUCGGAUCUAGUGGCGCACGGGUGCGUAACGCGUGGGAAUCUGCCCUUGGGUUCGGAAUAACUUCGGGAAACUGAAGCUAAUACCGGAUGAUGACGUAAGUCCAAAGAUUUAUCGCCCAAGGAUGAGCCCGCGUAGGAUUAGCUAGUUGGUAAGGUAAAGGCUUACCAAGGCGACGAUCCUUAGCUGGUCUGAGAGGAUGAUCAGCCACACUGGGACUGAGACACGGCCCAGACUCCUACGGGAGGCAGCAGUAGGGAAUAUUGGACAAUGGGGGCAACCCUGGUCCAGCAAUGCCGCGUGAGUGAUGAAGGCCUUAGGGUUGUAAAGCUCUUUUACCCGGGAUGAUAAUGACAGUACCGGGAGAAUAAGCCCCGGCUAACUCCGUGCCAGCCGCCGCCGUAA